rnacentral:rRNA from 1 species
AUUGAACGCUGGCGGCAUGCCUUACACAUGCAAGUCGAACGGCAGCACGGGUGCUUGCACCUGGUGGCGAGUGGCGAACGGGUGAGUAAUACAUCGGAACAUGUCCUGUAGUGGGGGAUAGCCCGGCGAAAGCCGGAUUAAUACCGCAUACGAUCUACGGAUGAAAGCGGGGGACCUUCGGGCUUCGCGCUAUAGGGGUGGCCGAUGGCUGAUUAGCUAGUUGGUGGGGUAAAGGCCUACCACGGCGCCGAUCCGUAGCUGGUCUGAGAGGACGACCAGCCACACUGGGACUGAGACACGGCCCAGACUCCUACGGGAGGCAGCAGUGGGGAAUUUUGGACAAUGGGCGAAAGCCUGAUCCAGCAAUGCCGCGUGUGUGAAGAAGGCCUUCGGUUUGUAAAGCACGUUUGUCCGGAAAGAAAUCCUUGGCCCUAAUACGGUCGGGGGAUGACGGUACCGGAAGAAUAAGCACCGGCUAACUACGUG